rnacentral:rRNA from 1 species
UACAGAGGUCUCAAGCGUUGUUCGGAUUCAUUGGGCGUAAAGAGCGCGUAGGCGGUCCGAUAAGUCGGCUGUGAAAGUCAGGGGCUCAACCCUUGAACGCCGGCCGAUACUGUCGGACUAGAGUCCGGAAGAGGCGAGUGGAAUUCCCGGUGUAGCGGUGAAAUGCGCAGAUAUCGGGAGGAACACCAAUGGCGAAGGCAGCUCGCUGGGACGGUACUGACGCUGAGGCGCGAAAGCGUGGGGAGCAAACAGG